rnacentral:tRNA from 1 species
GCAUUUAGCUCAGUGGUCGAGCGUGGGCUUUGGAAGCCACAGGUCGGUGGUUAGAACCCACCUGGGCA